AACGAACGCUGGCGGCAGGCCUAACACAUGCAAGUCGAGCGCGCCCUUCGGGGUGAGCGGCGGACGGGUGAGUAACGCGUGGGAACGUGCCCUUUGCUACGGAAUAGUCUCGGGAAACUGGGGGUAAUACCGUAUGUGCCCUUCGGGGGAAAGAUUUAUCGGCAAAGGAUCGGCCCGCGUUGGAUUAGGUAGUUGGUGGGGUAAUGGCCCACCAAGCCGACGAUCCAUAGCUGGUUUGAGAGGAUGAUCAGCCACACUGGGACUGAGACACGGCCCAAGACUCCUACGGGAGGCAGCAGUGGGGAAUCUUAGACAAUGGGCGCAAGCCUGAUCUAGCCAUGCCGCGUGAGCGAUGAAGGCCUUAGGGUUGUAAAGCUCUUUCGUGGGGGAAGAUAAUGACUGUACCCCAAGAAGAAGCCCCGGCUAACUCCGUG
rnacentral:rRNA from 1 species